GGAACUUGGAUUGUGGUGUUCUUACAGGACAAAUAAGAGACAGAUCUAGGUAUUGAACAUCAUUUCUCAGAAAAUAUGAGAGUUUCCAAAGGAAUUGAAGCAUGGUGUUCUGGUAAAACUGAAGAAGACGAAGACAACUAUCCCAUCUUGGCAGUGGAACUGAUAUCUACAAGAUGCUUGUGAAGUACCUACAAUAUCACUCUUAGUCAUCAUUACUCAAUGCUUUUUUCAAUAUUGCAUCUGGUAGCAGAAGUAAAGAGUUUACAUCUUUUGAUGUCUUCCACAUCUCCAAGAUAAUACAACAAACUUGAAUCCAAAAGUUUCUGACGGCAAACGAGAAUUUUUGGAUAUCUUAUUAUUCCAAGUACUUUCAGCAUUCUAUAGAGAAAUCUUCAUCCGUUUCUUGUCGGCCAUUUUAACAGUAUGUUGUACGAAUUUAUCGAAUAUUGAGGAACUAAUAGCUCCCUCCUAAAUUGCACUGAAAAUUUAUGUACUCUGUAACUUGAAACCGGAAAA